CGGGUUCCAAAGAAAGCCCUGUUUGACGAACACAUGUUUAGAGCACUGUUAAAAAGCUAGGCAUUCCCCAUGUUGAAAUUUACAAAUUAAAAUGAAGACAAAACUGAGGUUAGGUAAAGUGACAAAUCAUGCACUGAUAACAGUAGUGCUAAGAUCAAGGUAAUAAUUGCCCCUCAUUUAAGCACAACAGCAACUAGUCAAAAGGAAAUUACAAGAGAACUCAGGACACCAGAAUCAGCUUUUUUUUAAAAAAAAAAAAUAGUCUUCACUGUGGAUGCAACCAUUAUACCCAGAAGUUAAUAGGUGAAACAUUGUUCAGGGCCUCAACAAAUGUUAGCAUACACGCAAGCCAAAGAGCAGAAAAGAAGUCUUUAGUUUGCAGAUUCCUCCUUUGUAGGAAGUGAUAUACACAUAGAUAUUAUUAAAAAUGAAGGCUACCAUAACCUAAUUUAAAGCAGAUUAUUAAGUUGACAAUAUGCUACUUGCCUAAACCUAUUAUAAAUAAAUCUAAUAAAAAUACAUUCUACAUUUAACACUACUUUACUGGCUCAAUGAAAUCUCAUUUUUUGUUUCACAACUAAAUAUUUAGAAUGAAAGGUAUGUGAAGCAGCUGAAGAUUCACUGGCUAAUGAUAACAGAAGCUGGUGUACUUUGAAGGCUUGCUGCCUUGCUAAAGAGUAGAAUCAAAAUGAACUUCAGGGAUUAUUUGGUAUAGCAAACCUGCCAGACUAAGUGCCACCUAGCAAAUGAUAGCAACUUUGUCCAGUAUACACCUGGUAAAAUACUUGAGUAAUCUUCACUCAAGAUGGUAUACAUAGGCUUCUCCCUACCCAAGCACAUCCACACUUGCGUGGAAAACAUGCCAGAAACAGCUGCCAGAAAGCUGAAAUAUUGAAAGUGAGGAUUCAUUUAUCCAAUUCCAGCAUAAAUAUUUUGAAUCUGCAUGUGAAAUUGGUGUUCUAAGACAAGGGUCCUGUGGGCACCUGAAAAGCAAACUAAUUUGUGGCAUGAAAUUUUCAGGUUUAUGUUAGUCAUGUACCCCUUACAGUUAGGAAGAGUAAAAAAAGCAUUGUCUUUGCCAGGAAACCAAAUAGAGGCAAUACUUAAAUGUGAAGUUAUGUAUUUGUUGAAUAUUAUUUAACACACACACUAGCUAUGCAAUGAAAGCCACAAACCUCUUUUAGAAUUAAGUAAUACAUAAAAUUUCCUGCAUUAUGAACACAGAGUUCUUUUAACCAUGCAGUCAUUCUGUUCAUUCUAUUGAAGCCAGAUACAAACUACAGACCUUCCCACUGAGACAUGCCUUUAAUUAUGAAGAUUAUGUCUUAAAAAAGAUUUUUCACAAUUCUUAUUAGAUGAGGAUUAUAGUUGUCCAAGAAACACUAAUCAGCUCUUCAGUUUUAAAAAUAAAAACAUGCUGCUUUAAAUGCUUAUUUUUUGGUAUGCAAAUCAAAGAACUUUAAGCCUGAGUUUUAAUAAAAAUGUUCUGACUGCUUUAGCUGCAAAGUUAAAUUUUAUGGUGUCUCCUUCAAGGGGACAACUUGUUUUUGAGAAGAAAGAAGUAUUUAAGGUCAACUCCAACUCACCUGCCAGCUAACACGUGAAGAAAGAUUCUCAACUAUAAGCCUAUGUUCAGUACGAAGAGGUGGUCCAUACUGGCUACAAGAGAAACACAUUUUUCCAUUAUUUGUUCAUUUAUACUUCAUGCAGAAAAUGAAAGUGCAUUAUGCUGGGACAGAUUGCUUCACAUUCCUCAGUAAACCAGAAAAUGUUUUAGAAA